AUUGUAGUAUAUAAAAUAUAUGAAGCAAAAAAUUAUGGCGGUAUUUUAAGCUUUUCAGAGGAAUUUGCUCUUUAAUGGAUAAAACACCUAAAUCUUACUUAAAUUUGUUAAACCAAUUUGUAUACCACUAUUAAAAUAAUUAAUAACUUUAAUUAUUGAUAUUUAUUAUAAAUAAAAUAAAUUAAGUCAAGGUGCAGUAUAAAUUUAAGAAUGAAGUGAAUUACAUUACUUUUUAGAGAGAAAAUUGAAAUAAAGUUAGGAUUUGAAAGUAAAAUUAAAAUAGAAUGUUAAUUUGAAUUAAGCUCUAAAAUAUGUAC
rnacentral:rRNA from 1 species